rnacentral:rRNA from 1 species
CAUUUUUUACUGAAUUUAUUGUAAAUAAUUCCUGCUCAAUGAAAUAUUUAAAUAGCCGCAGAAAUUUAACUGUGCUAAGGUAGCAUAAUCAUUAGCCUUUUAAUUGAAGGCUCGUAUGAAUGGAAUAACAUUUCAUUAAUUUUAUUAUUAUAUUAAUUUUUAAAUUAAAUUAAGAAUAAAAAUGUUCUUAUUAAAAAAUUAGACGACAAGACCCUUUUGAACUUUACUUAUGUUUAGCUGGGGCAGCUAAAAAAUAAUUAUCUUUUAAAUUUAUUUAUUUAAAUAAAAGAUCCAAUAAAAUUGAUUUAUUGAAUAAGUUACCAUAGGGAUAACAGCGUAAUAUUUUUUUAAAGCUCUUAUUAAAAACAAUGAUUACGACCUCGAUGUUGAAUUAAUAUUUCUUUAAAAAUGCAAUAAUUUUUAAAGUUGGUCUGUUCGACCAUCAAAAUAUUAC